UACGGAGGGUGCAAGCGUUAAUCGGAAUUACUGGGCGUAAAGCGCGCGUAGGCGGCUUGGUCAGUGAGGUGUGAAAGCCCUGGGCUCAACCUGGGAACUGCAUCUCAUACUGCCAGGCUAGAGUAUGAUAGAGGGAAGUGGAAUUCCAGGUGUAGCGGUGAAAUGCGUAGAUAUCUGGAGGAACAUCAGUGGCGAAGGCGACUUCCUGGAUCAAUACUGACGCUGAGGUGCGAAAGCGUGGGGAGCAAACAGGAUUAGAUACCCCGGUAGUCC
rnacentral:rRNA from 1 species